CCCAGCUGUAGGCAACUGCCUAGGUUGCCCUGGACCUAGGCAAGUAUUACAUUGCUGGGAGAAAAGCAGCCAAUAGCUAACUGACAUC
ensembl:snoRNA SNORA74 Small nucleolar RNA SNORA74